rnacentral:ncRNA from 1 species
GAUCCAUCGGGAAAUGGCAUACUUCCCUAUACAAACCGCCAAUUGUUGGCUAAUGAUGCCUACGUAACC